GAUGUUAGCGGCGGACGGGUGAGUAACACGUGGGUAACCNGCCUGUAAGACUGGGAUAACUCCGGGAAACCGGGGCUAAUACCGGAUGCUUGUUUGAACCGCAUGGUUCAAACAUAAAAGGUGGCUUCGGCUACCACUUACAGAUGGACCCGCGGCGCAUUAGCUAGUUGGUGAGGUAACGGCUCACCAAGGCAACGAUGCGUAGCCGACCUGAGAGGGUGAUCGGCCACACUGGGACUGAGACACGGCCCAGACUCCUACGGGAGGCAGCAGUAGGGAAUCUUCCGCAAUGGACGAAAGUCUGACGGAGCAACGCCGCGUGAGUGAUGAAGGUUUUCGGAUCGUAAAGCUCUGUUGUUAGGGAAGAACAAGUACCGUUCGAAUAGGGCGGUACCUUGACGGUACCUAACCAGAAAGCCACGGCUAACUACGUGCCAGCAGCCGCGGUAAUACGUAGGUGGCAAGCGUUGUCCGGAAUUAUUGGGCGUAAAGGGCUCGCAGGCGGUUUCUUAAGUCUGAUGUGAAAGCCCCCGGCUCAACCGGGGAGGGUCAUUGGAAACUGGGGAACUUGAGUGCAGAAGAGGAGAGUGGAAUUCCACGUGUAGCGGUGAAAUGCGUAGAGAUGUGGAGGAACACCAGUGGCGAAGGCGACUCUCUGGUCUGUAACUGACGCUGAGGAGCGAAAGCGUGGGGAGCGAACAGGAUUAGAUACCCUGGUAGUCCACGCCGUAAACGAUGAGUGCUAAGUGUUAGGGGGUUUCCGCCCCUUAGUGCUGCAGCUAACGCAUUAAGCACUCCGCCUGGGGAGUACGGUCGCAAGACUGAAACUCAAAGGAAUUGACGGGGGCCCGCACAAGCGGUGGAGCAUGUGGUUUAAUUCGAAGCAACGCGAAGAACCUUACCAGGUCUUGACAUCCUCUGACAAUCCUAGAGAUAGGACGUCCCCUUCGGGGGCAGAGUGACAGGUGGUGCAUGGUUGUCGUCAGCUCGUGUCGUGAGAUGUUGGGUUAAGUCCCGCAACGAGCGCAACCCUUGAUCUUAGUUGCCAGCAUUCAGUUGGGCACUCUAAGGUGACUGCCGGUGACAAACCGGAGGAAGGUGGGGAUGACGUCAAAUCAUCAUGCCCCUUAUGACCUGGGCUACACACGUGCUACAAUGGACAGAACAAAGGGCAGCGAAACCGCGAGGUUAAGCCAAUCCCACAAAUCUGUUCUCAGUUCGGAUCGCAGUCUGCAACUCGACUGCGUGAAGCUGGAAUCGCUAGUAUCCC
rnacentral:rRNA from 1 species